UACAGAGGGGGCAAGCGUUAUUCGGAAUUAUUGGGCGUAAAGGGCGCGUAGGCGGCCUUGCAAGUGACGGGUGAAAUCCCUCGGCUUAACCGAGGAACUGCCUGUCAGACUGCAUGGCUUGAGACCGGGAGAGGUGAGUGGAAUUCCCGGUGUAGCAGUGAAAUGCGCAGAUAUCGGGAGGAACACCGGUGGCGAAGGCGGUUCUCUGGGCCUUACCUGACGCUGAGGAGCGAAAGCGUGGGGAGCGAACAGG
rnacentral:rRNA from 1 species